GCAGGUCACGUCUCGUGUCGGUCACAGUCGUGGGGAGAAGGAAUCGCGAGAAAAAUGCUCUGUGCCGGCUCCAAUUCUUCCGCGAACGGCUCCGGCGCUUUUGAGAUCUUAUGAGUGCAUCCUUUGAUUGACAACAUCAAGCAAGAUGACACUGAAGCAGCCUCCAGCCUCCAAAACGGAGUUUUUCACCUGACAGAACAGAUUGGAAGAAAUAUCUCAGUUCACACGAAUGUUGAUUGGCUGUCACCUAUUUCUGCCUGAGCUUGAGGAGAUGAGGCUUAUCAGGAACUUCCAGUUGCAUGUCACUUUCUGCUUAUCUACAGCUCCACUGGGGGAUACUGGAGUCGAAGGUAAGGAUGAGAAUGGACAUAAUGUCUCCUCUGGGACUGGACUGGAUGAGCAG